rnacentral:rRNA from 1 species
GUCACUGCUAUCAGUGUGCGACUAAGCCAUGCGAGUCAAAUGUUCUUCGUGAACAUGGCGUACUGCUCAGUAACACGUGGAUAAUCUGCCCUAAGGUCAGGCAUAACUCCGGGAAACUGGUGAUAAUUCCUGAUAAGCCAUAGAAUCUGGAAUGAUCUGUGGCUCAAAGCUCCGGCGCCUUAGGAUGAAUCUGCGGCCUAUCAGGUUGUAGUGGGUGUAGUGUACCUACUAGCCGACGACGGGUACGGGUUGUGAGAGCAAGAGCCCGGAGAUGGAUUCUGAGACAUGAAUCCAGGCCCUACGGGGCGCAGCAGGCGCGAAAACUUUACAAUGCGGGAAACCGCGAUAAGGGGACACUGAGUGCCAGCAUCUUAUGUUGGCUGUCCACAUGUGUAAAUAGCAUGUGUUAGCAAGGGCCGGGCAAGACCGGUGCCAGCCGCCGCGGUAACACCGGCGGCCCGAGUGGUGACCACUAUUAUUGGGUCUAAAGGGUCCGUAGCCGGUUUGAUCAGUCUUCCGGGAAAUCUGACAGCUCAACUGUUAGGCUUCCGGGGGAUACUGUCAGACUUGGGACCGGGAGAGGUAAGAGGUACUACAGGGGUAGGAGUGAAAUCUUGUAAUCCUUGUGGGACCACCAGUGGCGAAGGCGUCUUACCAGAACGGGUCCGACGGUGUGGGACGAAAGCUGGGGGCACGAACCGGAUUAGAUACCCGGGUAGUCCCAGCCGUAAACGAUGCUCGCUAGGUGUCUGGACGGUGCGACCGUUUCAGGUGCCGCAGGGAAGCCGUGAAGCGAGCCACCUGGGAAGUACGGCCGCAAGGCUGAAACUUAAAGGAAUUGGCGGGGGAGCACUACAACGGGUGGAGCCUGCGGUUUAAUUGGACUCAACGCCGGAAAACUCACCUGGGGCGACAGCAAUAUGUAGGUCAGGCUGAAGGUCUUACCUGAAUCGCUGAGAGGAGGUGCAUGGCCGUCGUCAGUUCGUACUGUGAAGCAUCCUGUUAAGUCAGG